GCAGCCUCGCAGAGUGGUUAGAGCAUCAGACUAGCACUCAGGAGGCCAGGGUUCAAAUCCCUACACAACCA